rnacentral:tRNA from 1 species
GGGGGGUUAGCUCAGUUGGUAGAGCGCCAGCAUGGCAUGCUGGAGGUCAGCGGUUCGAAUCCGCUACCCUCCA